rnacentral:rRNA from 1 species
ACGCUCGACACCUACGGGAGGCAGCAGUGGGGAAUAUUGCACAAUGGGGGAAACCCUGAUGCAGCGACGCCGCGUGGGUGAAGAAGUAUUUCGGUAUGUAAAGCCCUAUCAGCAGGGAAGAAGAUGACAGUACCUGACUAAGAAGCCCCGGCUAACUACGUACCAGCAGCCGCGGUAAUCUGAGCGGGCUGGCAAGGC